CUCUUUAAACUCUUUCUCUCUCUACGUAUGUAUGUAUAUUAUCUUCCAUGGCAGCCAUUGAAGCUCACCAACAGCAGCCGAUAUCUACCGCCACCGGUUCCUGCCGUCGUCGCCGUGAAUGCAGCCGCCGUUGAUUGCAGCAGCAGCAGCCGUCCGUCCGCGCCGCCGUUGUUCGCGUCGUUGCAGCAACGUCACCACCCGCCGUCUCCAGUCACACGCCAUCAAUGAAGCUGCUGUCUAUUCUUCACUAUUCGGUCGUGUACUCGAUCGAGUUCUUCAUUACUCGAUAGGAGCCAUGUGACGAAUACAUGAUUUGUUAAUGAAAAAAAAGUUCUAGUAUUUCAUACA